GAGUUACGCAGUACUACUACUCCUGCCCCUUCCACAUCCCCACGGAGGUGAUACGAUCGGCUAUGGCAAUCGAAGUCCUUCGGUCUGGGAACAUAUGCAGGGGCUCGUUGGCCACAUUUUAGCAUGGAAAAUUGUGGUCGCCCGUCUCUUCCUUUUCCUGCCGACUGUUCACGGGAUCCGUAAUUGAUACGAGUUGCCUGAUCCGUCGUGUGCUUGUGUGCUCGUUGCCGGAUUAUAUUGUUACCUUGUGUGUUCAAGGCACCUGAAGUGAGAUAGAUGAGCGCCUCUUAAAUAUUUCGACCGACGUCGGUUCCUUCCAUGCAGCUAACAACCAAUCCCUCGUUUUAUUAUUUACGCAUUUAAGAGAAAAGGCU
rnacentral:sRNA from 2 species